GACGUAGGAGGCGAGCGUUAUCCGGAUUCACUGGGCGUAAAGCGCAUGUAGGCGGUUGGACAAGUCCUUAAUGAAAGCCCCUGGCUCAACUGGGGGAGGUUUGAGGAGACUGUACGACUGGAGGGCAGCAGAGGUCGGUGGAACUCCCGGUGUAGCGGUGGAAUGCGUAGAGAUCGGGAAGAACAUCAGUGGCGAAGGCGACCGACUGGGCUGCGUCUGACGCUGAGAUGCGAAAGUGUGGGGAGCAAACGGG
rnacentral:rRNA from 1 species